CCUACGGGCGGCAGCAGUGAGGAAUAUUGGGCAAUGGGCGAAACCCUGACCCAGCCAUGCCGCGUGAGUGAUGAAUGUCUUCUGAGUGUAAAGCUCUUUCUGUCGUGACGUUGAUCACGGUAGCUUCUCAUUAAUCACUGGCCAACAUCGUUCCAGCAGCCGCGGUAAUACGGAGGGUGCGAGCGUUGUUCGGAAUGACUGGGCGUAAGGGGAGUGUAGGCGGUUAUGUAAGAUAGUCGUGAAAGGCCGGGGCUCAACCGGGGAACUGCCAGUAUGACUGUGUAUCUAGAGUACUGGAGAGGAUAGCGGAAGACGAGGUGUAGAGGUGAAAUUCGUAGAUAUUGGGAAGAACAUCGGUGGCGAAGGCGGCUAUCUGGACAGUUACUGACGCUGAGGCUCGAAAGCAUGGGGAUCAAACAGGAUUAGAUACCCGUGUAGUC
rnacentral:rRNA from 1 species